ACCGAGCUGCUCUACCAGACGACCUGCUAGAGACGUGUAGGAGGACAUUAGUGAGAAGAGAGGGAAUAAAGUCGAGCUGUACGUGUAGGCUGAAUACGAGACUACAUAGAGGGAGAGAGAGGGAGAGAGAGAGAGAGAGAGAGAGAGAGAGAGAUGGUGGAGCUGCUACACGUUUGGAGAGCACAACAUGCUGCUGCUGCCGCUGGACUCGAGAGGUGUGUGACAGUGCUCCUCCUUCCCAUCACUUGCAGUGUGCAGGCUGGGGGUUGGUUUCUGUCUUUGGUUAUCUAGCUGUAUGAGUCUUAACACAUGUCAUAAAGCUAGAUAACCGAAAGUAGAAAUGAUUCUCAAAAUCUCCUUCUUCGUGUUGUGUUCUGGUGCAGAAGCUGGCGCAACAGUCUCAGAAGCUGCUAAUGAAGCCACUGGACAACCUCCUCUGUACAGAGUGCUCUCCCCAUCCGCAACAUGGCGUAAUGAAGUAACAUGACAGGAGCACAGCCAGCGUGCUGUAGAGGAGGCAGGAGAGACAGAGGCAUGCAGGGAGGGAAAAUGCCUCCAUCUGUGAGCACCGUUCGUCUCCUCAUGCCUGGAAAGCUCUGGUGCCAUCUGUGGCCCUCUGGGGGACAGGGGAAGCCAUGCCCAUGCCACCGGCAACAAAGCCCCCUGUCAGCUCCCUGGAGCCAGGCGCAAUGAGGGAGAGAGGGAGGCCAUCUUGAGGGAAAUCUCACUGAAACAGCUAAGAUGGCUGGACUGGCACACGAGAACUGGCUAAACUGCACCAUUCUGAGAUGUUCAACUUCAGAAGGAGAGACCGGACGACCUCAGUGGGCAGAAUUCUGUGUGGAGUUCUCUGGGAAAGAAUUAAGCUUAUGUAACAUUUCAGUGAGGACGUGUCCUGCAUGUGUCUGGUUACAUUUUUUUUAAUGUUAAUGAACUUCUCUGUACAUGUGUGGAGUCUGAAGGUCAAAUGUGAUUGCUGUAGCUUUAGGAUCUACUUGCAGUGUUCACUGUGGUGUAUUUUAUAUUUUUGAAAUGACUUCAAAAUCUGCAAUUCUUUCACUUGUUUUGGUCUCCAAAUCUGUAAAUAAACAUUUAAAAUAAA